UAUUCUCAACAUGGGAUGUGCAUCUAAGUUAUGAAGCAUAACAAUUAAAUAACAUCCAUAAACCCAUGACCUCAUGCAGUAUGAAACAUUUCUAGUCCUGUGGAAGCUACAGGACUGCUGGAAUUUCUUCUCUGAUCCAGUCCCCUUGCUUCGCAACAGAGGUUCCUGCUUCUCCACGCCAAUGACAUGGUGAGAGAAUACAGGGGGAGCUGAAGACAAACAACAUAAACUUAUGUUUGCAAAGCACCUUUUACUCUGUGAAAUAAAGUGAGUGCAAGCAGUAAA
rnacentral:lncRNA from 10 species